GCUGGGCAGCUGGCCGGCGCGCUGACUGCGGAGCGGAGAGGCUGGAGGAUGGACUUCCCCGGGGCUGCUCGCCUUCUCUCUCUGCUGCUGGUGCCGCUGCUGCUGGGCCCUGCGCGCGGCCUGCGCAAUGCUUCCCAGAGGACGUUCAAGAUCGACUACGGCCACAACCGCUUCCUCAAGGAUGGCCAGCCGUUCCGCUACAUCUCGGGGAGCAUUCACUACUUUCGGGUGCCCCGCUUCUACUGGAAGGACCGGCUCCUGAAAAUGAAGAUGGCCGGGCUGAACGCCAUCCAGACGUACGUGCCCUGGAACUUUCACGAGCCCCAGCCAGGACAGUACCAGUUUUCUGGGGAACAUGAUGUGGAAUAUUUUCUCAAGCUGGCCCAUGAGCUGGGACUGCUGGUUAUCCUGAGGCCCGGACCCUACAUCUGUGCAGAGUGGGACAUGGGAGGAUUGCCGGCUUGGCUGUUAUUAAAAGAGUCGAUUAUUCUCCGUUCUUCUGAUCCAGAUUACCUUGCAGCCGUGGACAAGUGGUUGGGAGUCCUUCUGCCCAAGAUGAAGCCUCUCCUCUAUCAGAAUGGAGGGCCCAUUAUAACCGUGCAGGUUGAAAACGAAUACGGCAGCUACUUCACCUGUGACUACGACUACCUGCGCUUCCUGCAGCGGCGCUUCCGCGACCACCUGGGCGGGGACGUGCUUCUGUUCACCACCGACGGGGCGCACGAGAAGUUCCUGCAGUGCGGGGCGCUGCAGGGCAUCUACGCCACCGUGGACUUCGGCCCAGAUGCCAACAUCACCGCUGCUUUCCAGAUCCAGAGAAAGAGCGAGCCCAGAGGACCGUUGGUGAACUCUGAAUUCUAUACUGGCUGGUUAGACCACUGGGGCCAACCUCACUCAAGAGUGAGGACUGAAGUGGUAGCUUCCUCCCUCCAUGACGUACUUGCCCAUGGGGCGAAUGUGAACUUGUACAUGUUUAUAGGUGGGACCAAUUUCGCUUAUUGGAAUGGGGCCAACAUCCCCUACCAACCACAGCCCACCAGCUACGACUAUGACGCCCCACUGAGCGAGGCAGGGGACCUCACUGACAAGUAUUUUGCUCUGCGGGACGUUAUCCGGAAGUUUGAAAAAGUACCAGAAGGUUUUAUCCCUCCAUCUACGCCCAAGUUUGCAUAUGGAAAAGUUGCUCUGCAAAAGUUAAAGACGGUGGAGGACGCUCUGAACGUUCUGUGUCCUGCUGGGCCCAUAAAAAGCCUUUAUCCGUUGACGUUUAUCCAGGUGAAACAGUAUUUUGGUUUCGUGCUAUACCGAACAACGCUCCCUCAAGACUGCAGCAACCCCACACCCCUGUCAUCACCCCUCAAUGGAGUCCGUGACCGCGCCUAUGUCGCCGUGGACGGGGUGCCCCAGGGAGUCCUGGAGCGAAGUUACGUGAUCACUCUGAACAUAACAGGGCAAGCCGGAGCCACUCUGGACCUUCUGGUGGAGAACAUGGGGCGUGUGAACUAUGGCAGAUACAUCAAUGAUUUCAAGGGUCUUAUUUCUAACCUGACCCUCGGUUCCAGUGUCCUCACGGACUGGAUGAUCUUCCCGCUGGACACCGAGGAUGCAGUGCGCAGCCAUCUGGGAGGCUGGCAUGGCCGUAACCAUGGCCGUCAGGAUAAUAAAGCCUUUGCCCACCACUCGUCCAACUACACACUCCCGGCCUUUUACGCGGGGAACUUCUCUAUUCCCAGCGGGAUCCCAGACUUGCCCCAGGACACCUUUAUCCAGUUUUCUGGAUGGACCAAGGUACUACCUGUCGAGGCUCCAGAAGGCUCAGGCAGUGGAGUGGGAUCUCCUCGCGGGAGCGUGUGCUUCCGUUCUGUUCGCCCCGUCUUCUGAACCACGCUCAGCACCUCAGGUACAACAUGAAUGGAAGUGGCAACAGCAGACAUACUUGUCUAGUUCCUGAUCUUCUGAAGGGGAAGGCAUUCAGUCCUUCACCAUGAAGUACGAUGGUAUGGACAUUCUAGAAUAGAGCUUUUUACAGACUGAGAUCUACUGAGAUCUUCAUUUCACUUGAGGAAAUGCCUAGGUGUAGACUCCCUGGAUUGCACGGUAGGUAUACAUUCAACUUUCAAAUAAGUGUCAGUUUGUUUUCCCAAAGUAGCUCUUGUAUGGAACCAUCUUUUUUUUUUUAAUUUUUUUAAUGUUUGUUUAUUUUUGAGAGAAAGAGAGAACACAAGCUGGGGAGGAGCAGAGAGAGAAGGAGACACAGAAUCUGAAGCAGGCUCCAGACUCCGCGCUGUCGGCACAGAGCCCGACACGGGGCUCAAACCCACGAACCGUGAGAUCAUGACCUGAGCCGAAGUCAGACACUCAACCGACUGAGCCACUCGGGCGCCUCCAAAACCAUCUUUUGAGUCUCUCUUGUUGCAUGUUAUCUGUCGUCUCGGUAAGUUUUGGAAAACGGGAGGACCCCCAAACUGUGAAUUUUUGCUGCACCUUAAUUAGAAGGCUUCCAGUGAACCGCUCAGCAGUUCUGUGACCCCAAGAACGCACAGUUCAAACGCAUUCCCUCGUAAGUUCCCUCCUUGUCCACUGCGUGAGCCCCGUCUGACUCCUCCUCAGUUAUCCCGAGAAGAGCCCAGCUGGACCACAAAGCGCAUCACCUGAACCACUGUUCGCUUUAUUUGCAUGUGAUGUUUUCAUGGUGAUGUCAUCAAAAUUAGGAAGAAUCGCUCCCUCCAACCAAGGCAACCACGGAGAGGAGGCUGCACAGUGCACUUUCAGUGGAGAUCGUUCUCCUGCCUCGCUGGGCUCCAAUUAGAGUCUCGUUUAUCUCCUGUGUGAUAAAAAAAAAAACGUUCUGCAGGCUUCUAAUGCCAACCUGCACACACCGCACACUGUGAACCCUAAUGCCCAUUCCCAGCACUGACGUCAGCAUCUUCGGCAAAGCACCGAGACCUCUGUAGGCGGGUGUCAUGUCAGGCUGAGCGUCCCCCUGCUCACCUCACCCGUGAGCCCUUUUUUUUAGAAUCUCUCUCUGCGGUUCCUUAGCUUCCCAUAACCACAAAGAUCUCCUUUUAUUUUCUAAAAUGGAAAUAUUUCUAUUGUUCUGGCAGAUUAUGAAAGUGAUGCAUGUUUGUUUAAAGAAAUAAAGAAGCCUAGAAAGUAUAAAGUGUAAUUCUUCCUUCUAUGAAAUGACUAACAUCAAUAAUAGCUCGAUAAGUCUGGGGAGAACUUUUUUUAAUGGCUAACGAUUUGGGGGCUAAGUUCGAGGUUUAUCCUUCCAGGUUUUAAACAUGCUGUUAAUAUUUCGUGUAGAGAGUCGGGGACUGCCAUUGCCUUGGCCCGCCAUCCCCCUCCGUGGCUGAGGAGCUCUCGGCGGCCACGUCCUACACUGAGGAUGAUUUCCACUGCCCUGUUGGUCAGCAGGUGCACAAAACACCCGCAAGGACCCGGCCGGUCAGCAAGUUUUCUGUAGAAAAUGUUUCCUGACUGCAGUGAGAGAAAGCGGAACACACUGUCCCCUCUGUCGUGGAAGUGUGACUGGGAGAGAGAGAGAGACUGCUUGUCCUGAAUGGGCCAUAGACCUUCAAAUUGUCAUGAGGAAGUUUUCCGGUAGCUGCAGAUACUGUGCAAACCAGAUUAAAUUCUGAGACAUGAGACAUCGUUGCAUAUCUGCAUGGAGCUAGUGCAUCCAGUGCGAUGUUUCGUAGAAGGGACAGCCGGCUUCCUUCUCUUCUUUGGUUUCCAGCUGGAAUACCUCUGGACUGCCCCAGUACGCAUUUUGAGCGGAGUGCUGCAGGGUCCUGAUGAUCAUGGAGUAGCAGAACAGCAUGGUGCCCAAGGGGAUCACCAACCCCAGAAUGUUGAUCUCCAGGGAGCUCAGCACCUUCCACCUCGUGGAGUUGAGAGAGUACUUGGUUUUGCAGUAGGUGUGGUUGCGCUCCGUGUAACAGGUGCUGAAUAAGAAGCCUGGAAGAGAGGCCAGCACGGCCACGGACCACGUGGCCAAGCUGGUGAUGACCCCGUAAGUCAAGGUCCUCGCUCUCAAGGAAAACACCGCGUGCACUAUCGCCAGGUAUCUGUCGAUGCUCAUGAGCAUGACGAAGAAGAUGCCACUGUAAAAGCCCACCAAGUACAUCCAGGAAAUAAUCUUGCAGAGACCCAGUCCAAAAACCCACUGGUCUGCGGCAUAGUAGCCCCAGAAAGGGAGGGAGAACACGAAGAGCAGGUCUGAGAUGGCGAGGUUGAGCAGGUACACGUCAGUCAUGGACUUGAGCCUCUUGUACUUGAACAAGACCAAAACUACCACAGAAUUGCCCAGGAGACCGAACAGAAAGACCAAGGAGUAGAGAGGGGGCAGGAAGAGCCCCCCGAACGCCUUGACGCCUUCUUUGGUGCAAGGCUUGGGGAUGUUUUCAUAGAGAUAGUAAUUGUGAUAGAUGCUUUCAUCCAUGGUGGUGUCUGCUGUGUCCGUGGGGUUCAUUUUCAAAUCUCCAGGCUCCUCGACGCAGGUCUGAGCCCAACCAGAAGCUAAUGAGGGAAGAGCAGACGCGAUCUCUGUAGGAACAAAAGCAAAUCGAAAAGGUGCUGACUACGGAGCAUAGUGCUGAGUAUUGUGCCCCGGCUCAUGACACCCCCUUCCCAGCCUUCCCAAGUUGAAGGGCUCUGUUCCUCGCAGGGCAGUGCAGCCAAAUAAAACAAUCCUGCUGUUUGGAGUUA